AGUGAACGCUGGCGGUAGGCCUAACACAUGCAAGUCGAACGGCAGCACAGUAAGAGCUUGCUCUUACGGGUGGCGAGUGGCGGACGGGUGAGGAAUACAUCGGAAUCUACUUUUUCGUGGGAGAUAACGUAGGGAAACUUACGCUAAUACCGCAUACGACCUACGGGUGAAAGCAGGGGAUCUUCGGACCUUGCGCGAUUGAAUGAGCCGAUGUCGGAUUAGCUAGUUGGCGGGGUAAAGGCCCACCAAGGCGACGAUCCGUAGCUGGUCUGAGAGGAUGAUCAGCCACACUGGAACUGAGACACGGUCCAGACUCCUACGGGAGGCAGCAGUGGGGAAUAUUGGGCAAUGGGCGCAAGCCUGAUCCAGCCAUACCGCGUGGGUGAAGAAGGCCUUCGGGUUGUAAAGCCCUUUUGUUGGGGAAGAAAAGCAGCAGGUUAAUACCCCGCUGUUCUGACGGUACCCAAAGAAUAAGCACCGGCUAACUUCGUG
rnacentral:rRNA from 1 species